rnacentral:rRNA from 1 species
AGGAAUAUUGGUCAAUGGACGCAAGUCUGAACCAGCCAUGCCGCGUGCAGGAUGACGGCUCUAUGAGUUGUAAACUGCUUUUGUACGAGGGUAAACCCCGAUACGUGUAUUGGGUUGAAAGUACCGUACGAAUAAGCAUCGGCUAACUCCGUUCCAGCAGCCGCGGUAAUACGGGGGAUGCAAGCGUUAUCCGGAUUUAUUGGGUUUAAAGGGUGCGUAGGCUGUGAGGUAAGUCAGCGGUGAAAUGCCCCCGCUCAACGGGGUGAAGUGCCAUUGAUACUGCCUUGCUGGAAUGCGGAUGCCGUGGGAGGAAUGUGUGGUGUAGCGGUGAAAUGCAUAGAUAUCACACAGAACACCGAUUGCGAAGGCAUCUCACGAAUCCGCGAUUGACGCUGAUGCACGAAAGCGUGGGUAUCAAACAG